rnacentral:sRNA from 1 species
UGUGCACAAAAAAUAUUAAUAAAGAAGAGAAAUGCUGAAUUCCUGAUGGGAAUUUUGGUUGAGUGAAUCUAAUGUCUCCCUCCAUCCAGGGCCUGUUAGGCUCUUAUUGAUGGGCAAGGAUAAGCCUCUGGGUCUAAGUGCAUUAGCAGGAUAUAACCCAUUCCCCUCUUUCCAUACAGAUGCUGUGUCUGAUUGGUCUCCUAUGCAUGAAGCUGCAAUCCAUGGACAUCAGCUGUCUCUGAGGAACCUCAUCAGCCAGGGGUGGGCUGUGAACAUCAUCACGGCAGAUCAUGUUUCCCCACUCCAUGAAGCCUGUCUUGGAGGUCAUCUCUCUUGUGUGAAGAUUUUAUUAAAGCAUGGAGCUCAGGUGAAUGGUGUGACAGCAGACUGGCACACUCCACUGUUUAAUGCUUGUGUCAGCGGCAGCUGGGAUUGUGUGAAUUUGCUUCUGCAGCACGGAGCCAGCGUUCAACCUGAGAGUGAUCUGGCAUCCCCCAUCCAUGAAGCUGCUAGGAGAGCUUAUGGGGGCAACAUUGACCAUAAGAUCAGCCACCUGGGCACUCCACUCUAUUUGGCUUGUGAAAACC